rnacentral:rRNA from 1 species
CAGAGACUGCAAGCGUUAUUCGGAUUCACUGGGCGUAAAGGGUGCGCAGGCGGCCGGGUGUGUGAGGCGUGAAAGCCCGAUGCUUAACAUCGGAAUUGCACCUCAAACUACACGGCUAGAGCAUUGGAGAGGGUAGCGGAAUUCACGGUGUAGCAGUGAAAUGCGUAGAUAUCGUGAGGAACACCAGAGGCGAAGGCGGCUACCUGGACAAUUGCUGACGCUCAGGCACGAAAGCGUGGGGAGCAAAAGGGAUUAGAUACCCCUGUAGUCCACGCCCUAAACGGUGCACACUAGGUCUUGGCGGAUUCGACCCCACCAGGGCCCCAGCUAACGCGUUAAGUGUGCCGCCUGAGGAGUACGGCCGCAAGGUUG